AAAGUGAGCCAUUCCCUUCUCUUUGGCAGGUAUUGCCUCUUAUUCAUCACUCCACUGCAGCUAAACAGUAACCAAAGACCAUGUGACCACUGCCCAGAGGAACCUGAAAGGCUGGUGAUGCUGGUGAAUUAAAGGAAUACAACGUCUCUAGAUGGUGAAACGGGGAUUGAGGAAGUAUUGAUUCAAAAACAUCAUUCCCGAAAAAUCUGAAUCUCAUACUUUCAAGAGAACUUCGCAGAGGUGUUGCCAAGGAAGUCAAUGUUUAGAAAGCUCCUCUGAAGGGAAAGGGAAGACUCAAGGGGCCACUGG
ensembl:lncRNA